AUACUUACCUGGACAGGGUCUAUGGGUGAUCAAGAAGGCCCAUGGCCUAGGUUGGUGACCUCCAUUGCACUUAGGAGGGGUGCCUGCCUAUGGUCUCCUCUAGUAGGAGAGCCAAUGUCAUAAUUUGUUGCCGAGGGGGCUUGCGUUCGCGCAGCCCCUGC
rnacentral:snRNA from 1 species